AUACAGAGGGUGCGAGCGUUAAUCGGAAUUACUGGGCGUAAAGCGCGCGUAGGCGGCUUAUUAAGUCAGAUGUGAAAUCCCCGAGCUCAACCUGGGAACUGCAUCUGAUACUGGUAAGCUAGAGUUUUGGAGAGGGAAGUAGAAUUUCAGGUGUAGCGGUGAAAUGCAUAGAGAUCUGAAGGAAUACCAGUGGCGAAGGCGACUUCCGGGCCAAAAACUGACGCUGAGGUGCGAAAGCGUGGGUAGCAAACGGGAUUAGAAACCCCAGUAGUCC
rnacentral:rRNA from 1 species